UCCAAUCGAGCGGACAAAAUGGGAGCUUGCUCCCUGAUGUUAGCGGCGGACGGGUGAGUAAACACGUGGGUAACCUGCCUGUAAGACUGGGAAUAACUCCGGGAAACCGGGGCUAAUACCGGAUGCUUGUUGAACCGCAUGGUUCAAACAUAAAAGGGGUUUCGGCUACCACUUACAGAUGGACCCGCGGCGCAUUAGCUAGUUGGUGAGGUAAUGGCUCACCAAGGCAACGAUGCGUAGCCGACCUGAGAGGGUGAUCGGCCACACUGGGACUGAGACACGGCCCAGACUCCUACGGGAGGCAGCAGUAGGGAAUCUUCCGCAAUGGACGAAAGUCUGACGGAGCAACGCCGCGUGAGUGAUGAAGGUUUUCGGAUCGUAAAGCUCUGUUGUUAGGGAAGAACAAGUACCGUUCGAAUAGGGCGGUACCUUGACGGUACCUAACCAGAAAGCCACGGCUAACUACGUGCCAGCAGCCGCGGUAAUACGUAGGUGGCAAGCGUUGUCCGGAAUUAUUGGGCGUAAAGGGCUCGCAGGCGGUUUCUUAAGUCUGAUGUGAAAGCCCCCGGCUCAACCGGGGAGGGUCAUUGGAAACUGGGGAACUUGAGUGCAGAAGAGGAGAGUGGAAUUCCACGUGUAGCGGUGAAAUGCGUAGAGAUGUGGAGGAACACCAGUGGCGAAGGCGACUCUCUGGUCUGUAACUGACGCUGAGGAGCGAAAGCGUGGGGAGCGAACAGGAUUAGAUACCCUGGUAGUCCACGCCGUAAACGAGGAGUGCUAAGUGUUAGGGGGUUUCCGCCCCUUAGUGCUG
rnacentral:rRNA from 1 species